rnacentral:sRNA from 1 species
UUACCUUAAUUUGAAUCCCAUUCGCGAG